GACGAACGCUGGCGGCGUGCUUAACACAUGCAAGUCGAACGGAAAGGCCCUGCUUUUGUGGGGUGCUCGAGUGGCGAACGGGUGAGUAACACGUGAGUAACCUGCCCUUGACUUUGGGAUAACUUCAGGAAACUGGGGCUAAUACCGGAUAGGAGCUCCUGCUGCAUGGUGGGGGUUGGAAAGUUUCGGCGGUUGGGGAUGGACUCGCGGCUUAUCAGCUUGUUGGUGGGGUAGUGGCUUACCAAGGCUUUGACGGGUAGCCGGCCUGAGAGGGUGACCGGCCACAUGGGGACUGAGAUACGGCCCAGACUCCUACGGGAGGCAGCAGUGGGGAAUAUUGCACAAUGGGCGGAAGCCUGAUGCGGCAACGCCGCGUGCGGGAUGACGGCCUUCGGGUGGUAAACCGCUUUCGCCUGUGACGAAGCGUGAGUGACGGUAAUGGGUAAAGAAGCACCGGCUAACUACGU
rnacentral:rRNA from 1 species